UGAUGCUAUAAGAAAGAUGAAUGAUUCCUUCUGAAGAGCUGCCUCAGGCGCUGUCUGCCUGCCACUUCCAAUAAGUCACUUAACAUUCCUGGGACUCAGUGUUUUGAUCUGUAAAAGAGGAACAAUACUGCAUAGGACCACUGGGAGAAAAUACUUAAGAAAAUGAUCAAAAAGUAUUGUUAUUUUAAGAAUGGCAUCUGACUCUGGAAGGAGAUGGGGACCAGGAGCCUGUACAGAACAUCUCUAGGCUUGUCCUCUGUCAUUUUAGCCUGUUUGAUGAACGGCUGUGCACUGCAUCUUCCAACUGCUGAGCUCUUCCAACUGCUCUGACUUCCCAACACCUCAUACCAUCUCAAUGCCACUGGGAAAGAGAGGGGCUGGAGCUCUGGUUUAUCGAGCAAUGGAUACAGUCACAGUUUGGGUGCCUGGGUGGGAGGUGGAAGCAGCCGCAUCCUCCCAUCCCUCGGGGCCGGGACUCGGAGGUGCCGGUCUCUCCUGGGGCUCUCUCUCCUGGGGGAGGCGGCGCCGUGGGCAGCGGCCAGAGAACCUGGAGAGCCUUAACGGAGGGGCGAGCAGUACCGAAGGGGAAGGCGCUGCCGUUCCUGCCGCGACCAGCUUCCCAACACUUUUCCCGGGACUUUGCUCAUCAGCUGGUACACUCCCUGGAGAGGAGACCAAGAAGGUGCGCGAAAGGUUCCCAAAAGCGACCCCAGGAGAGCGCUCCUCUUGGGAUGGGGACCCGUUAGACCCUCCCCGCUCUACCCACCCUUCCCAGCCCCCAGG